UACGGGGGGGCAAGCGUUGUUCGGAAUUACUGGGCGUAAAGGGCGCGUAGGCGGCCUGUUAAGUCGAACGUGAAAUCCCCGGGCUCAACCCGGGAACUGCGUCCGAUACUGGCAGGCUUGAAUCCGGGAGAGGGAUGCGGAAUUCCAGGUGUAGCGGUGAAAUGCGUAGAUAUCUGGAGAACACCGGUGGCGAAGGCGGCAUCCGUGGACCGCAUUGACGCUGAGGCGCGAAAGCCAGGGGAGCAAA
rnacentral:rRNA from 1 species